rnacentral:rRNA from 1 species
UACGGGAGGCAGCAGUGGGGAAUAUUGCACAAUGGGCGCAAGCCUGAUGCAGCCAUGCCGCGUGUAUGAAGAAGGCCUUCGGGUUGUAAAGUACUUUCAGUCGUGAGGAAGGUGUUAAGGUUAAUAACCUUAGCAAUUGACGUUAGCGACAGAAGAAGCACCGGCUAACUCCGUGCCAGCAGCCGCGGUAAUACGGAGGGUGCGAGCAUUAAUCGGAAUUACUGGGCGUAAAGGGCACGCAGGCGGUUAAUUAAGUUGGAUGUGAAAUCCCCGGGCUUAACCUGGGAAUGGCAUUCAAGACUGGUUAGCUAGAGUCUUGUAGAGGGGGUAGAAUUCCAUGUGUAGCGGUGAAAUGCGUAGAGAUGUGGAGGAAUACCGGUGGCGAAGGCGGCCCCUGGGACAAAGACUGACGCUCAUGUGCGAAAGCGUGGGGAGCAAACAGGAUUAGAUACC